GACGAACGCUGGCGGCGUGCUUAACACAUGCAAGUCGAACGGAAAGGCCCUGCUUUUGUGGGGUGCUCGAGUGGCGAACGGGUGAGUAACACGUGAGUAACCUGCCCUUGACUUUGGGAUAACUUCAGGAAACUGGGGCUAAUCCCGGAUAGGAGCUCCUGCUGCAUGGUGGGGGUUGGAAAGUUUCGGCGGUUGGGGAUGGACUCGCGGCUUAUCAGCUUGUUGGUGGGGUAGUGGCUUACCAAGGCUUUGACGGGUAGCCGGCCUGAGAGGGUGACCGGCCACAUUGGGACUGAGAUACGGCCCAGACUCCUACGGGAGGCAGCAGUGGGGAAUGUUGCACAAUGGGCGGAAGCCUGAUGCAGCAACGCCGCGUGCGGGAUGACGGCCUUCGGGUUGUAAACCGCUUUCGCCUGUGACGAAGCGUGAGUGACGGUAAUGGGUAAAGAAGCACCGGCUAACUACGUG
rnacentral:rRNA from 1 species